AUGAAUGGUAUAUAGAUUCUGAAAUGCAAGACAUAUGCUGAACACCUAAUUGGGCUGCCAAUGGCUCAAAAAUAUUGUAAGUUAAAAAACUCAGGUAAUACAAAGCCUGCUGCCUGGGUAUUUCACAUUUACAAACAUGUGGUAUUCAGAAAAUAGAGCUUAUAUUGAUAUUUUAGCUAUUAGACUUGGUUACAUUAUGACAAAUCAGUAAUCUGUUUGAGAUCUUUUAAUGUAUUUUGGCUUUUAAAUCAGAAACUAUAACAUGCUCUGCAGUGUCUCUUUCAUUAUGAAGAAGAAAAAUAAUUCAAGGAUGAACCGAAAUUUUCAUUGAAGGCUUCUCCAUAUAAUCUUUGAAACUGAAAAUAAUUUUUAAAGCUCAAAAGUUGUCAGACAUUUGCAGAAAGAGAGGCCAGUUGUGACUGAAAAAAGCCCCCUGAAACAACCCACCAUAAAUUAGUAGGAAGAUAAGAGCCAGAUGAGAAUUUUAUGUAAUUUGUUGUCCUCAAAGUGUGGCCAGUUACAUCACUUAGGGAAAGAAUUUCCUCUAUUUGUCUCCUAUGCUUUUUCCAGGAUACUCCCACUUCAACGAGUCAGUGAAUGGUUUAGGGACUGACCCCUAAGCAUCUGCACAAAUAUGAGCUUUUUUUAAUAGCCAGUAAUGGAUUAUCUCACAGCUAAUGAUGCAAAUUUUUUUUUCAAGAAUUUCAGAGUCUGGCACCCCACAACAUUCUUCUGUGUUAGGUCUACACUUUCGCCAUGUGCUGUGUUAAGAAAUCUCAAGAUAGCAGAAAAAUAUUUUUCCUUCAGGAAAUGCAGCCAUUUGUUCAUUACCAGGCAAACAGGACUCCCCUUCCUUUGGGCCUUCUGCCAGAGUUAUUUACACACAGGCUUGUUCAAGCUAACCACCUUGGCUUCGUGCUCCUUCACACCAUUUGAUACUGUAUGAGAUUGGAGCUGUUGUGGAUAAAGAAGUGCUUCACUGUGACUCCUUUGUGUUCUGUGGAGGAGUCAUGGGCACACUCCCCUGUGAGGAAAGAUUACCCUUGUUUACGUAGGAGAGUAGACAAACAAGAUACAGCAGCCUGGAUUCAAGGAACACAUAGGAAGAGGUGUUGAGAGGGUGAGGUGGCAUGUCUUUUUCUCUUUUCUCAUACUUAAAGAUGGCACUUGAGCAAGAGGAAAGCAGUAUGUACAAAUGAGAAAGUGGAAUGCUGUGGCUGGAAAUACAUUUUAUGGUAUUAAAUGAUUAUAUAUGAAACUCAUAGCUGCUAGUUAUGUCUGAGAAGAGCUUGAGAUGGUCAGUAGAAGGUAGGUAUCUCUUAAAAGAAAGAAUCAGUUACCUGAAUUACUACUGCUUUUCAAAUGGAUUUUGUGAUGUAUUUGACAUCCAAAGUAAAGUCAGAGGCAAAUGCAGCCCUUUUAGUACUCUCUAAACUCUAAACUCUUCUGAUCCAUCUCAGUCUCCCUUCUCACCCUCCUUGCUGGCCCCAGAGCCCCUGGGUGUGCUCUCUCAGGCUCUCCAUGAGUCCCUGAGAGGGACUGGUGGCCAGGACCUUCACCCUCACAGGCUGUUCAUCACCCAGCACCUAGCUCAGGGCCCUUGAGCAGGUCUUCCUAAAGAGGAUAACAGAAGAGGGAAUAUACCCACCCCUUCCAGCAUUAGAAAGCCAGCCCUGAGUGUCUUGCAUAUUUUUCUACUGAGUGCAAAGAGCACUGAGUGUAAUGUGGGCAUUAGAAAAGCCAGUGGUGUGGGCAAGGGCAGCAAGAGACAUUACAGUCCAGGCAGCUGGAAAAAUGAGAGAAGGAACACAGGAGGAAGCUCCUGUAUAAAUAAGGACAAUGUGUUUUAAACAUCAUUGAUGGGAAACUACUAGUAUUUGUUUAUUUAUGAGAAAAGCCAUUCAUGGGCAGCUUCCCAUGGAUUUUCUAACUUAAUCAAACUUUAAGAAAGAGUAUCUAAACAGAAAAAUGACACCAUUCAUUUUAUUUUGCACUCCUACCCUCUGAGACUUUCAGAAAAUUGGAUACAUUUGGUCUGUUUUGCUUUACACUGCUCACAGUGAAAUCAAUAAAUAGGUAUCAAUGUCUUAUGUAAAGGAAUUG
rnacentral:lncRNA from 1 species